rnacentral:rRNA from 1 species
GACGAACGCUGGCGGCGUGCUUAACACAUGCAAGUCGAACGGAAAGGCCCUGCUUUUGUGGGGUGCUCGAGUGGCGAACGGGUGAGUAGCACGUGAGUAACCUGCCCUUGACUUUGGGAUAACUUCAGGUAACUGGGGCUAAUACCGGAUAGGAGCUCCUGCUGCAUGGUGGGGGUUGGAAAGUUUCGGCGGUUGGGGGUGGACUCGCGGCUUAUCAGCUUGUUGGUGGGGUAGUGGCUUACCAAGGCUUUGACGGGUAGCCGGCCUGAGAGGGUGACCGGCCACAUUGGGACUGAGAUACGGCCCAGACUCCUACGGGAGGCAGCAGUGGGGAAUAUUGCACAAUGGGCGGAAGCCUGAUGCAGCAACGCCGCGUGCGGGAUGACGGCCUUCGGGUUGUAAACCGCUUUCGCCUGUGACGAAGCGUGAGUGACGGUAAUGGGUAAAGAAGCACCGGCUAACUACGUG